AAUUACGUCAAUUCCAGUGUAUCACCACAAAUUAUAGGCGACUGAAUCAUCAGGGAAAAAAAUAAUAAUAAUAAUUCCGCCCAGGCGGCCUAGGCGGCUCUGGGGUUUUUUUUUUUUUUUUUGGUCUGACUUUAAAGAAAACCCUCACGCUGUCACCUCCUUUACCCUACUCCAGCAGCCUCACCAUCCCCAAAACCUAGCAAUUUACUUUCAUAUUCCCUCUCCUCCAUGACCACAAAGUGACAGAGCCAAAUGGCUGUUCUUCAAGACCAGAAACCGAGCUCCUCUUGUCCAAUACUUGUCCGCUUCAUAUUUCAAAAGGAAGAGCACCAACUAUAAACAAUUACGCCAAUUCCAGUGUAUCACCACAAAUUAUAGGCGACUGAAUCAUCAUGGAAAAAAAAAAAAAAAAAAAAAUUCCGCCUAGGCGGCCUAGGCGGCUCUGGGCGGUUUUUAUUUCUUUCUGACUUUAAAGAAAACCCUCACGCUGUCACCUCCUUUACCCUACUCCAGCAAAGUCACCAUCCCCAAAACCUAGCAAUUUACUUUCAUAUUCCCUCUCUUCCAUGACCACAAAGUGACAGAGCCAAAUGGCUGUUCUUCAAGACCAGAAACCGAGCUCCUCUUGUCCCAUACUUGUCCGCUUCAUAUUUCAAAAGGAAGAGCACCAACUAUAAACAAUUACGCCAAUUCCAGUGUAUCACCACAAAUUAGGCGACUGAAUCAUCAGGAAAAAAAAAAAAAAAAAAAUUUUCCGCCUAGGCGGCCUAGGCGGCUCUGGGCGGUUUUUAUUUCUUUCUGACUUUAAAGAAAACCCUCACGCUGUCACCUCCUUUACCCUACUCCAGCAAAGUCACCAUCCCCAAAACCUAGCAAUUUACUUUCAUAUUCCCUCUCUUCCAUGACCACAAAGUGACAGAGCCAAAUGGCUGUUCUUCAAGACCAGAAACCGAGCUCCUCUUGUCCCAUACUUGUCCGCUUCAUAUUUCAAAAGGAAGAGCACCAACUAUAAACACUACGCCAAUUCCAGUGUAUCACCACAAAUUAUAGGCGACUGAAUCAUCAGGGAGGAAAAAAAAAAAAAAAAAUUCCGCCUAGGCGGCUCUGGGCGGUUUUUUUUUUUUUAUUUAUUUAAUAAAUUUAAAUUUAAAUUUAUUUAUUUAUUCUGACUUUAAAGAAAACCCUCACGCUGUCACCUCCGUUACCCUACUCCAGCAAAG
rnacentral:lncRNA from 1 species